GACAGAGGGUGCAAACGUUGCUCGGAAUUACUGGGCGUAAAGCGCGUGUAGGCGGACUUGUAAGUCGGAUGUGAAAUCCCUGAGCUCAACUCAGGAACUGCAUUCGAAACUGCAAGUCUGGAGUGGUGGAGAGGGAAGCAGAAUUCCUGGUGUAGAGGUGAAAUUCGUAGAUAUCAGGAGGAACACCGGUGGAGAAGGCGGCUUCCUGGACACUUACUGACGCUGAGACGCGAAAGCGUGGGGAGCAAACAGG
rnacentral:rRNA from 1 species